AACAUUCUAACAGUUUAGUGUUUCAUCGCUCACUAUGAAGCGUUUUUUACAUCGUUAUUAAAAGCAUAGUGAAAUUUUCCUUGUCGAAAAUGGGGCGGGCAAUGGCAUGUCAUUGCGGAAAAGGCAACAUCACACCUGCAGCAUCAAUUUGAUUGCAUGUGGGAAGUGCUUGCCCCCUGAACAAUAUUCUACGAAAUUUGGUUACGUCAUGCAAGGAACGAGAAAAAACGAGAACAGUUGUGUAAAGUGUGAAUUGUUUCCGAUACGGUUGUUCCUCUGAUUGCCAGUGAUGAAAUCGAUUUUGUUAAGUAUGAUUCAAUACGGUGUUUGAAAUAGAUACGGUGUUAGAAAUUUGAUGCAGAUUUAAUCAAUCGUUAGUGCAUAAUCUGUUUUGCUGUGCAAUUAAGUUCAAUGAAGAGAAUGCAGCGAACGUGGGGGCUCAAUAAGAGUUAGUACUUCCAGUCAGAGAUCAGAUAAGUAUUUUAUUGAACC